AAGACUGUGCUUCACAGGAUCAUUUCUGUAGGCAAGUUUUCUCCACAAGUUUUUUCCGAAAGGAAAAGAUUUCCCACCCACGAUGAUGAGACAUCGUGACUAGUCCGGAGCGUGAAACUUGGUUCGGUUGCACUCUAUCGUUUACGGUAGGGUCACGAACUGCUGAUGAUCGGGCUCUUUUGCAAGGAUUGGUCGCUGUCUGAGUGGU